rnacentral:rRNA from 1 species
GAUGAACGCUGGCGGCGUGCCUAAUACAUGCAAGUCGAGCGAACAGACAAGGAGCUUGCUCCUCUAACGUUAGCGGCGGACGGGUGAGUAACACGUGGAUAACCUACCUAUAAGACUGGGAUAACUUCGGGAAACCGGAGCUAAUACCAGAUAAUAUAUUGAACCGCAUGGUUCAAUAGUUCAAGACGGUUUUGCCGUCACUUAUAGAUGGAUCCGGGCCGGAUUAGCUAGUUGGUAAGGUAACGGCUUACCAAGGCAACGAUGCGUAGCUGAUCUGAGAGGGUGAUCGGCCACACUGGAACUGAGACACGGUCCAGACUCCUACGGGAGGCAGCAGUAGGGAAUAUUGCGCAAUGGGCGAAAGCCUGAUGGAGCAACGCCGCGUGAGUGAUGAAGGUCUUCGGAUCGUAAAGCUCUGUUGUUGGGGAAGAACAAAUGUGUAAGUAACUAUGCACGUCUUGACGGUACCUAAUGAGAAAGCCCCGGCUAACUACGUG